rnacentral:lncRNA from 1 species
AUAUCUUAAUUAGCUAAGACGCCCCACUUCCUAGAGGGUCACCCAUUGUCACGCCCGGGUUCCAGCGAAAGCAUAUCCGGUCGCGUGCACAGACCCGCCGUGUACACCACCACUCAAGUAUACACAAGGCGUCUACAAACCAUAUAGUAAAAGCAUAUAAUUCUAAUCAGGUAAUCAGAGCACGACUUUUAAACUUAUACAAUCCAAACCUUAAUACAUGAAAGAAAAAUAAAGUACAAUUUACAAAAAAACACUUAAUACACAUCUCUGUACUAAACUACAUAAACUGGUGGAGGUCGUCUAGUACACGUCCAAAAGGCUCUAGCUAGCCGCAGACCCCUCGCCAAGAACCCUAGCCUUUCCCGGGGGAGAAGGCUCUGUAAAAACAACAACAAAGAGGGCGUGAGAACUAUUAAACAAUAGUUCCCAGUGGGUAAGCCGCCGAGAGUGGCGAAGUACACCACUAGGUCAACUGUGGCAUGAGUAGAUAGCAAUAAAUAAGCGAGUAAAUGCAGAUAAUACAAUAAGCAAUUAUAUGCAACAGAUAUGGAAGUAAACUACUCAUGCUAUUUGCUCAACCAUAAAUAAAUAACAAUAGAUUGCAGGUAUCAGAUAUUAUGAUAAAUUCUAUCAAUCAUAUUACCUGACAAUUUAACCAAACAUAUAUCAGAAUGUAUGCAAGAUAAUUCACUUUACUGAAAUUACAGAUGAUAUCAUGUAAUUACCUUGUUCCGUAGCAAGAAAGAGACAUAAUGUCAUUCAUUAUGUUGCUAACCAAUCAUGAUGUCAACUUCUAGGUUGUUCAUCACUAAGCUCACUUUAGAUGUCAACUUUUCGUCCGCGAAACUAGAACUGAAUCUUCAUUCGAAAUCAUCUAAAAAGGAUGGGAAAUCCAUUCCAUCGUUGUUCAUCUGCAGGAGUUUAAUCAUUCAUUCGAUAAGAAGAAUUCCAAGGGUACCAUUUUCAAUAGUGCUUAGUAGUUAUACUUGGUACCUAUCUUGAGUUCCAAGAAAUUAUCAUAUAUUAGCAGUGGAAUUCUCAAAAGUCAAAACUCUUUAAAAGAUUGCACUCCCAGUGCAAUUUUAUUCCAAGAUGAAUUCAUUUCCUAUUUUCUCAAAUAGGUUGAGGCUGAAGCCCAAGGCUUCCUAGGUUACAUCUGAUAUACAACUUGUGUUUUACAAGGUAAUCAAAUACCAAGGAUUACUUUGCAUUAUCCAGCAGUCAUUGAUAACGAACUAGUUAUCCCUGGUAGUUCCCUUUUAAUAGCAAAUUAAAAUUGAUUAUCCAUCAAUCCAUUAAAGGUGGAUUCCUGAUGAACUAUUCAGCAUUAUAUCCCAACACCUUAAUAUCAUAUUUCUUUCUGCCACUAGGCGAGAAUCCCAAUUCACAUUCAUGGAUGCUGCUCCACGUCAAUACUUAUGUUCAGACAAAUUCCAUUAAUGCUGUCUCUACAGCUUUACUGCUUUCCUUUACACCGAUCAUAAAGUAAAUCAUGACCAUUUCAUCACUGGAAAAUUUUCCUCAUAUACUCAAAUCAUUUUGUGCAAGCUUAAGUUGGAGCUUCGCUUCUACCAAAAUCACUUGUAACGUCACUAUCUGCUCCUGUAAGUAGAUCAAUUCAGAUAAACUUUCUUUGAUACUGUUCUGAGAGUGUGAUGCUCAAAGUAUUCAUUGUCCCAAAUCCAAUUUAGGCAAUAAAGGGGAAUCAGUUUAUACUUCACCCAUAAGUUCUCUAUUGCUAUUAUUCUACAUAUUUUUCCGUCACCGGGGAAGAAAUCUGAACAAAGUCUUCGUUAACCUACACUUGAAGCAUUACCAUUUGCUUUCGAACUGUAUGAGAAUUAUCUUGAUAUAACUAUCAGUCAAGAUAUUAAUUCCCAAAGACUAACCUCAUGCAGUUUGUUCCCUGAAGCUUAGUUCCAAUUAUACAUAACUAGAAUCAGAAGAGAAAGAAACAAGUAGCUGGGUAAUCUCUUUUCUCAAUAUUCCAAGAUGCAUAGUGCCAUUAGAAGAGUCUCAUCUCAAUCCUUUUAAUUCAUCUUCCUGGUCAAUCAUUAUCUGCCUUGCAGGAUUCACCGAACACACAACUGGAUAAAUCCUUCAUAACCUUUCUAUCAUAGAAGACUGCAGCUUCCUCAGAUUGCUACUCAAUCUAAAGCAUGCAUCCAAUACUAAAGGCUGAUCAAAAGAUCAUCAGAUCUUGACUUAAUCCAACCACUAAUUGUGUUUCUAAUUGAAAUCACGAUAUUCGACACAUAGUCGAAUAGUUUAUCUAAUCUCACCACAAGUGAAAUUACUUCACCAAAAUGAAGCCCUAAGCAUAAAACAUUCUCUAUUCAUCAAGUUCACAAUUUGUGACUUGUUUAGGAAUAGCACAACCACUACUCAAGAACUACCCUUCACUUUGAGGGUUCUUCCAAUUUCAUAGUAUCAGCCAAUUAGGCUCCACCCUUUCCAUAAUUACCUAAUUUAGGUAAAAUGAUCAUUCUCGCAAUCAGCGAGGCUAAACCCUUCAAGAUGCAUUGCAUAAUGUUCAAAGUUCCAAGGCGAAUCAAUUUAGUUCGCACAAACCAUGGUAUAAAGUAUCUCCCAACUAAAUUUCAAUCAAAAUCUACAUGCAUUAAGGAAGGAAAUAAUGCUAUUCAACUCGGCCAACAGCCGAUCAGAGAUGCAACUAAAGCAAUCAUUAUGAUCAUAUCGAAUCAUAGGAACAUUGCAUAAAGUACUACCUACAGUAGUUAUCUCUGCCGUCGUAUCUGACUCUAAGAUUCCGUCGGCAUACCUCCACUGGGUACUCUUUGCAACAAAGUCGGUGCAGAUACCUUAGUCAACAUGUUAUUUCUGGGACACUCAGAGCGAAAAUGGCCCUCCUGACCACAUACAAAACACUUUCCUUUCCGCUGAGGACACUUUGGGGGAACAUGCGGACCUCCACAAAUUACACAUAGCCGAGGUAAUCGUCCACUCAAUCUUCUUUGUUUAGAAAAAGAACCACGUUUCCAAGGUUGAUUCUUCUUUAGUUUCCUUGAUGAUUCCCCGACAUGUAAUUGAUCGCCCUUGGUAGCCUCUUUGGCUCUUUCAGUGUAUUCCACACCUUUUCUCACGGUCAAAGUACGAUCCGAAACCUCGUGGCAUUUCUUGAGAUCAGCCGUCUGUUGAAUCAACAGGGUCUCCAACCGUCUGAUUCCUUCAUCCUGUCGGCGCAAAGCCUCGGCUUGAAGUAGCGUCACAUUCGCUUGUCGCUCCACCACUCCAACUAGAGUAGCCAGCUGCUCUUUUAAUUCCCGAAUCUCGCUAAAUUCAGAAGGUGCACGUCUUUCGGGGUCGGAUGUCUCAGUCGCCGUAGGGUGCAUCUUUGACAUUGCAAGCUGCAACAAACAAAAUAGGCACAGGUUAAAACAACCCAUGCUAUCGUAGCCCCACUCAAAAUUGUAAAAUCCCAAUCAUGCGAAAGUAAUGAAAUGACCGCCCACUAUUCCCCAAUAUCACGUUGUCGGCCGCCAACGUGAUUUUGGAAGGACAUAGAGGUUAUUCAUUUCAAUCGAACUCCAACAAUUUUGGAGUUAUAAGUAUAACCCAAUCAUAAUACUUUCGCUCAACAUAGUCGCAAAAGACCCCGUCCCUCACGUUCCUAAUCCUGAUCGUCCAACUGGCCUAAGGUUUACUAGGUCCACUAAGACUCAACCCUAGGCUCUGAUACCACUAUAAUCUGUCACGCCCGGGUACCAGCGGAAGCAUAUCCGGUCGCGUGCACAGACCCGCCGUGUACACCACCACUCAAGUAUACACAAGGCGUCUACAAACCAUAUAGUAAAAGCAUAUAAUUCUAACCAGGUAAUCAGAGCACGACUUUUAAACUUAUACAAUCCAAACCUUAAUACAUGAAAGAAAAAUAAAGUACAAUUUACAAAAACACUUAAUAUACAUCUCUGUACUAAACUACAUAAACUGGUGGAGGUCGUCUAGUACACGUCCAAAAGGCUCUAGCUAGCCGCAGACCCCUCGCCA